rnacentral:rRNA from 1 species
AUUGAACGCUGGCGGCAGGCCUAACACAUGCAAGUCGAGCGGAUGAAGAGAGCUUGCUCUCUGAUUUAGCGGCGGACGGGUGAGUAAUGCCUAGGAAUCUGCCUGGUAGUGGGGGAUAACGUUCCGAAAGGAACGCUAAUACCGCAUACGUCCUACGGGAGAAAGCAGGGGACCUUCGGGCCUUGCGCUAUCAGAUGAGCCUAGGUCGGAUUAGCUAGUUGGUGAGGUAAUGGCUCACCAAGGCUACGAUCCGUAACUGGUCUGAGAGGAUGGUCAGUCACACUGGGACUGAGACACGGUCCAGACUCCUACGGGAGGCAGCAGUGGGGAAUAUUGGACAAUGGGCGAAAGCCUGAUCCAGCCAUGCCGCGUGUGUGAAGAAGGUCUUCGGAUUGUAAAGCACUUUAAGUUGGGAGGAAGGGCAGUAAGUUAAUACCUUGCUGUUUUGACGUUACCGACAGAAUAAGCACCGGCUAACUUCGUGCCAGCCGCCGCAGUAACAC